CGGAGUUAGCCGGGGUUUCGUUUACCAGGUACUGUCAUUAUCAUCCCUGGCGAAAGUGCUUUACGACCCUAGGGCCUUCAUCACACACGCGGCAUGGCUAGAUCAGGCUUGCGCCCAUUGUCUAAGAUUCCCC
rnacentral:rRNA from 1 species